GGACGAACGCUGGCGGCGUGCUUAACACAUGCAAGUCGAGCGGUAAGGCCCUUUCGGGGGUACACGAGCGGCGGAACGGGUGAGUAACACGUGGGUGACCUGCCCUUAGCUCUGGGAUAAGCCUGGGGAAACUGGGUCUAAUACCGGAUAUGACUCCAUAACGCAUGUUGUGGGGGUGGAAAGCCUUGUGCGGCUAGGGA
rnacentral:rRNA from 1 species